UACGAAGGGGGCUAGCGUUGCUCGGAAUGACUGGGCGUAAAGGGCGCGUAGGCGGCUUGCACCGUCAGAUGUGAAAUUCCUGGGCUUAACCUGGGGGCUGCAUUUGAUACGUGUGGGCUUGAGUGCGGAAGAGGGUCGUGGAAUUCCCAGUGUAGAGGUGAAAUGCGCAGAUAUCAGGAGGAACACCGGUGGCGAAGGCGGGUCUCUGGGCCGAUACUGACGCUGAGGAGCGAAAGGCGUGGGGAGCGAACAGG
rnacentral:rRNA from 1 species